rnacentral:rRNA from 1 species
UACGGAGGAUGCGAGCGUUAUCCGGAUUUAUUGGGUUUAAAGGGUGCGUAGGCGGACUGUCAAGUCAGCGGUAAAAUUGAGAGGCUCAACCUCUUCCCGCCGUUGAAACUGGUGGUCUUGAGUGGAUGAGAAGUAGGCGGAAUGCGUGGUGUAGCGGUGAAAUGCAUAGAUAUCACGCAGAACUCCGAUUGCGAAGGCAGCGUACCGGCAUCCAACUGACGCUGAGGCACGAAAGCGUGGGGAUCAAACAGG